rfam:Oryza sativa (indica cultivar-group) chromosome 5, whole genome shotgun sequence.
AAAAAGAUAAAUUCUAGGUUUAUCUUCAAUGUUUGACUGUCCGUCUUAUAUAAAUUUUUUUAUAAUUAGUAUUUUCAUUGUUGUUAGAUGAUAAAACAUGAUUAAUACUUUAUCUGUGACUUGUCUUUUUAUUUUUUUCAAAUAAGGCGGACGGUCAAACGUUGGACACGGAAACCCAGGGUUUGUCUUUUU